AACGUAGGACGCAAGCGUUAUCCGGAGUACUGGGCGUAAAGCGCGGGCAGGCGGUUCUGCCAGUCUGAUGUGAAAUCUCCUCGCUCAACGGGGAGCAGCCAUUGGAAACUACAGAACUGGAGUCUGACAGAGGUAGGCGGAAUUCCGGGUGGAGUGGUGAAAUGCGUAGAGAUCCGGAGGGACACCAGAGGCGAAGGCGGCCUACUGGGUCAGUACUGGACGCUGAGCCGCGAAAGCCAGGGGAGCCGGAACGGG
rnacentral:rRNA from 1 species